CUUUUAUGGAGAGUUUGAUCUUGGCUCAGGACGAACGCUGGCGGCGUGCCUAAUACAUGCAAGUCGAGCGCGGGAAGCAGACGGAUCCCUUCGGGGUGAAGUUUGUGGAACGAGCGGCGGACGGGUGAGUAACACGUGGGCAACCUACCUGUAAGACUGGGAUAACCCCGGGAAACCGGGGCUAAUACCGGAUAACAUUUUUCAGCACAUGUUGA
rnacentral:rRNA from 1 species